UCAUGUGAGCUUUCAUUGUGUUUGACUUUCAUGUGAACUUUCACUGUGUUUCUAGUAUUUGUGCAUGAAUGUCUUCUACUUUCUGAAUAAAAAAGAUUAAAUUGCUGUUUAUGCAUAAUGGGUCUCUUUAAUGAAAACGAAAAAAGAUUAAAUUUUCUGAUGAGUAAAAAGAAAAGUUUGUGGGUGUGGGUCGAUGGCGAUGCUUGAGAGAGAGAGAUGUUCGAAUUUCAGCUACAGCUCUGUUAUUUGCAUCCAAAGAGCAAUGAUCGAAGAACUCGGUCGAGUUACCAGGACUUCACUAUUUGCUGAGCUCGGAGGUCCGGCCACUUAAAAAAAAAAAAAA